UGUUCUAAAGUCGUUUGUAUUUGCUAAUUGACAGUACAACCUCAUGAGAUUUUUAGAUCAGCUAAUGGACUGUCAUUGUUUUGUUUAGAAUAUUUGCUAAGCUAUAGAUUACAGUGUGAAAUAUAGAUAUACCGUAAUUUGAGAAUUCAAAAACAGAUACAGGUUAUGUUCAAAAUUACUGCCUUUUCUUAGAUGUGUCAAUAAUAAACUCUUCAUUUAACAAUAGUAAUUAAUACUAUUAAUUAAUUUUCUAAAGUUGCUUAUAGUUUUUACUGCUUNUUAAUUAUUAUGCCAUAGUUUGCUUUGCAAUGCUGAAUAUCCUGUUUUGUCUUCAUGAUAUUUGAAUACAUAUGCAUUUUUAUUAAGUUGUACUUUAAAUGUAAGUAAUUUUCUUUUCAUUUCUGUGCAGAUGAUCAUCUGGUUGGAGAAGAUGUUAGAUAAAAUAAUUAGCAUUUUCAUCAUAUUUUUGUUAGUGAUAGGAACCCUUCUUUUAGCCCUACUCCUGACUGCAAAGGUACAUCAAGAGAGUGUACACAUGAUUGAAGUCACGAGUAAUUUGAUUAACGAAACUCUAGCAAAUCACCCCGAGUGGGCAAAGUAAGAAUACUUAUGUCGUUUGUUCCUCACAGUGACUGUUUGAGGUAGAUUGGAGAGAUUGUUCCCAUUUCACAGAUGAGGAAGCAGGAUCAAAGGUUAAGGAACUUGAGAUAAUAAUCCCCUAGUGGCAGAGUUAGCACUUACAGCUGGGCUUCUGACCAGCUGAUGGAACUUUUCACUCUACCAUGUGACUGCUCAACUUUCUAUAGAAUUCUUGACAUAUUCCCACACUGAAAUUGUUUUAUUUAAGGAGGGGUGGGCAAGCUAUGGUCCAGGACCAAAUCCAGCCACCUGUUUUUGUAAAUAAAGUUUUAUUGGAACACA